UUUUUCCAUUCAUCUGAUGAUGGACUUUUGGGUUGCUUCCACCUCUUGACUAUUGGCAUAGCCCCAUUUUUAAAAUAUUGCAAUUUAAUUUAACUCUUACCUUCUCAUUCCCUCUGGUGGAUUUAAUAAAUGCAAUAUCAUCUGUAAGGCACGUGUUCCAAUAAGGAAGAGAAUGUAGCAUGAGAAGAGAGUUGAAGGCAGAACCCUAGGGAACCCAGUUCUUUUAAGAUGCCAGGAAACUAAUAAGAAGGAGGACGAUAAGGAAGGAUCAGUGGGAAAGAAGAAGCCCCAGGGAUAGGAGCGCUUCCAAGAGGAAGAAGACAAAGGUCAGAAAGUACAAGGAGGCCAAGUAAGAGCCACACAUUUCCUGCCUCUCAGCUGUCUGUGCUUGCUGAUGUCUGACCUAAAUGACCUUAACAGAGCCAACCAGGGUGACAGUGGCACUACUGAGAAAUGCCUGAAACUUCUCUUUGAAAGCCCAAUGCUGGAUGGAAAGCUGAAUUUUCCAGUGACUGUCCCAUGAAGUUGCCACUUCACAAGGUAUCAGAUGAUGAUGACGAUGAUGAUGAUGAUGAUGAUGAUGAUGAUGAUGAUGAUGAUGAUGGUGAUCAUAUCCAGAGAGAAGCAAAGUGAAUGUGUACCAUUGUGUCUUGAAUCCAGCUUGGCCAUAAGGAAAUGGGGCGAGACUUUGUCAUGUAUGUCGCUGAAGUUCAGCUAUGCAAAAAUGUUCACCUAUCCUUGAUCAACCAGUCCAGGAACCAUCAAAGAAGAAAAUGAGAUUCGACUUAGAAGACCUGUUCUUUAUAAACCCCUGCACAGCCCUAAUGAUCAACACCACUUCCAGUGCUCAUAAAUUACUGCUUCAAUAAUUGUUCUGCAAUUCUGCCUAUUCUCAUUGAAUGCUUCGUAUAAUCCCUUUAUUUACUUUGGGCUACGAUUCAUUUUUAUCAGUGAGUAUUGUACUUGUUUCAUCU
rnacentral:lncRNA from 10 species